GCCGAGGUAGUUCAGCGGUAGAACGCCACGCUCAUAACGUGGAGGCUGUGGGUUCGACACCCAUCCUCGGCA
rnacentral:tRNA from 1 species